AUUGAACGCUGGCGGCAGGCCUAACACAUGCAAGUCGAACGAGUGGCGGACGGGUGAGUAAUGUCUGGGCAACUGCCCGAUGGAGGGGGCUAACUACUGGAACCGGUAGCUAAUACCGCAUACCAUCGGAUGUGCCCAGAUGGGAUUAGCUAGUCGGUGGGGUAAAGGCUCACCAAGGCGACGAUCCCUAGCUGGGCUGAGAGGAUGACCAGCCACACUGGAACUGAGACACGGUCCAGACUCCUACGGGAGGCAGCAGUGGGGAAUAUUCCACAAUGGGAGCAAGCCUGAUAGAGCCAUGCCGCGUGAAUGAAGAAGGCCUUCGGGUUGUAAAGUACUGUCAGCGGGGAGGCGUUACCCGAAGAAGAAGCAACGGCUAACUCCGUGCCAGCAGCCGCGGUAAUUC
rnacentral:rRNA from 1 species